rnacentral:other from 1 species
UAUUUUCUAAAAUAUUCGUUAAGCUCUUAUUUUGAACCUACAUUUAAAUUUAGGGAGUUCAAUAUUUAGAUGGGGAAAUGUACUUUCAUGUAAAUACUUUUAAAGUAUUGAAAGAAAUUGAAACAUCUGUGAGGACACCCACCUAUCGAGAGAUAGGCAUCAAAAUUAGAGUACCGGUAUUUGGGAUAUUAU